rnacentral:rRNA from 1 species
UACGUAGGGUGCAAGCGUUGUCCGGAAUUAUUGGGCGUAAAGAGCUCGUAGGCGGUCUGUCGCGUCGGCUGUGAAAACCCGGGGCUCAACCCCGGGCCUGCAGUCGAUACGGGCAGACUAGAGUGCGGUAGGGGAGACUGGAAUUCCUGGUGUAGCGGUGAAAUGCGCAGAUAUCAGGAGGAACGCCGGUGGCGAAGGCGGGUCUCUGGGCCGUAACUGACGCUGAGGAGCGAAAGCGUGGGGAGCGAACAGG